CCUGAGGGUCACGAGUGCGAACGAUUUGAGCAUUGAAGAAGUUGCGAGUGAGACGAAUCAUGAAGCAACCAAGAGCUUCAUCACAAUGGAAGCUACCAUUGUGGGUACCAACGCGCUUGAGAGACGCGUGAGAAGGAGAAGAAGAAUCAGAAACCCUAGCUGUUUUAGCGUUAGACAUUAGACGAAGUUGAAGAGUGAAGUGCUUCUGCUUGUACUUGGAGAAGUGGAAAUUGAAUUUGUUGAAUAAUAAUGUCUUUGUUGUUGUUGAUGUUGUUACCCACAUCAUAUCACUUUUGGAUUUAAACUCACAUUCAUACCUAAAAUCUCUCCUCUAGUUUUUUAACAAUUAUUUUGUAGGCUUUCAAAAAAAAAAAAAAUUUUUUGCAGGGUUUAAGCAAUAAUAUUAUGGUUUUGGUAAGCCCAACACAUUCAACAUUGGGUAUGUUUGGAUAGUAAAAGGAAAGAAAGUUAGAGAAAAGAAGGUUAAAGGAAAGUGAGAUGAUUUGUUGGUUGUUUGGUUAUAGUGAAAGUAAGGGAGGAAAGAAAGAAAUGAAUUUAGUAAAUGACAAA
rnacentral:lncRNA from 1 species